rnacentral:rRNA from 1 species
CUGCAGCCCGAGUGGUGAUCGAUUUUAUUGAGCCUAAAGCGUCCGUAGCCGGACUAGUAAACCCUUGGGUAAAUUGGGCAGCUUAACUGUCCAAAUUCCGAGGGGACUGCUAGUCUUGGGACCGGGAGAGGUCAGAGGUACUCAAGGGGUAGGGGCUAAAUCCUGUAAUCCUUUGGGGACCACCAGUGGCGAAGGCGUCUGACUAGAACGGAUUCGACGGUGAGGGACGAAGCCCUGGGGCGCAAACCGGAUUAGAGACCCGAGUAGUCC